UGCUUGUGGCGCUCCUAAUGACUUGGGAGAGGGGGUGGGGAGAAACUGUAGUGGAGUCGAACGGAGGAGCAGCGCGCGUGCGCGCGGAGUGACUGACUGCGGGAGCUCUGGCCCUGGAGCACCCCGGAGCCUGGAGGAGAAGCCGACCUAGGCGACCCGCAGCGGCAGCGGCCGCUGCAGCCUCCCGGGCUCCUCCACCCGCUCCUCCCACGGCGCCCCCCUCCCGCCCCCGCGCUCACUAGCGGGUGAGAUGCUGGAAGACUGUCAGGCAUCAACUUGUUCAUCUAUGAAAGGCAAAACCUUACAUUUUUUGCCAGUUCAUUGAAUAAUUUUGUUAAUUGCUAUCUUGGUGUGACUCUGCUGCUCUUCAAUUGACCUCUCCUGAAUCUCAGGGCAGGACUUUACACAGCAUUCCUCUCUGACACUAUUAUUUAAUCUUCUUGCGGCUCAGAAAGAGAAAAGAGAAGAGAAAAAGUACCUGUCAUAUGCCAAGACCCAGGAGAGAGUUUUCCCAAGUCAGUCCAAAGCUCCCUGGGCAAUUACAUAAUUCACUUUUUUUCUAGCUGAUCUGCUUGGUUUGCUUUUUUUUUCCUUCAAGUUGCACAAAAUGGUUCAGGGCUUGCCUGGAGCAAUUUUUUCAUCCUAACUCCUUGCUGGAAACUUCUAGAAGCCAAACCUUCUUCCUCUCCCUCUUAACCUACAAAUAUUUAAACACACAAUGGAAUUUUAAAGACCUGUUUUUAAGACAAAAUCAUGGUGCAAAGUCAAAAGGAUCUUCGGAUUUACUCCAUAAUAGUUUACUGGACUUUUCACUCUGUGUCUUACCUUUGCCUGUUCUCAGAGCUAUACUUACACAGGUUCUGAAGUAAACAUUUCAGGCUUCAUAAAAGAUGAAAUUCAAAACCACCUUUAGCUAAGCUCUUUGCCCUUUUAGGAACAACAUCAUAAGAAAAACAGACUAUAGCUCCUAAAUCAACCAAGAAUAAUUUCAAAAGGUUACAGUACACGUAUCAAUAUAUAACAACUUGAGCUAAAUCCUAAGGUUUUACUAAGCUAAAUUAUUCUGAAACACACUUGGAAGAACUGCGAUAAAGAAGUAGUUCUUAGAUGCUCUUUAUGUGUCUACUUUUAAUUAAGCUAGUGAAUUAAUAGACUCAAGUUAUAACUCCCACAAGUGAUACUCAAUAGUAGCAUCCUCUAUGCUAUGAAUAAUGAGAGCUAAAUAUUCAUACACAGGCAACUUAAGAUUUAAAACUGCCAUAAACAGAAAAACCAUGCAUAUACUCAGACCAGUUCUUUGCCAAACACCAUCAUGGCAAUUCUUCAGUCUUUCUGAUGGGGUGCUUGGACCCCAGUCCUAGGACUCAUAGGCUCAGUGAGGCAAACUAUCUCUCCCUGUUAUAAGAACAAGCUGACCUCUGUAGAAUUUCCUUUGUAUGAACAGGACCAUCUUGUCAGGACUAUCAUGUACUGAUUCCCACAGUUAUCAUAUACAAUCCAAAAGUCAAGCUAUAGACAUUAACUCCUGAGGCUAUCUUGUUACGGAUGUAACGGAUCUAAAACACACCCCUUAGAAGCACCCCCCCAACACCAUUCCCCCGCCCCUGGCUAUGCCAGUAGUGAAUUAUGCCUGUGCCCAAGGUACAAAAACUGUAUGUUCACCACCUAAUUAGCAUAUUUGACACAAAAUGCACAAAAUUUUUCCUAUAUAAGCUUUAGCAUCAUUCCUGUUAGGCUGUGAGUUCCCUAAAGAGCUCUGCCUGCUACAUAGAAUUACAAUAAACUUUUUCCCACUUGACCGGAAGACUGCUUGAGUCCAAGAAUUCUUUCCAGAUGACUCUACCCUGUCCCUUGACAGUUUGGAGUCCCUGUAGCCCUAAAACCACCUCAUUUAUAGUUGCUCAGAAGAUGCCAAUUUUUUUCACCUCCACCUUGCCACACCUUCCAUAUAUAGAAAGUGAAAACUCUUAGUUUAGAGGUGGAAGAGAAAUUAAGGGAGAAAAAAGAGACAGAGGACAGAAACAUGGGACAAAAACAUGGUGGGGAAAAGCCACCUUAUAGUUACGGUGGUAGAAAAGGGUGCCACUAAUACAUUAAGGAAAAGGCAUACUAAAUAGGAAAAAUGUAGAAAAUAAGAAGGUGGAAAAAAGUUUGAUGAUCUUCUGGUCUUUAAGAUUUUCCUUGAUGCACAAAAAAGUGAAAGAAAAAGCUACUAUGUGUGAAUUUAUCCUAAUGGCAGGUACUUCAAUUAACAAGGAUAGUUUACAUAUCAUUUAAAAAAAAAUUAAAAGUAGUGGAGAAAUUUAAAUCAUUCUAGAGCUUUUCUAGGCAAGUUAAAAAAAAGUCAAAAGGCAGGAUGGUUUAAACCCUCCUAUAACUGGUAUCCAAUAAUACUUCCUUCUUGGCCUUUAAAUGCUGAAAUGUUGUUAUUUUUCAGUCAUUUCAGUUGUG